AAGUCGUAACAAGGUUUCCGUAGGUGAACCUGCGGAAGGAUCAUUAACACGUAUCCAACGUUAAACCCCCCGUGAACCUUCAUUCCCCAUUCCGUUAGGACGCGGCAAUCCCUGGUAAAUCAUCGCCGAACAGUUUCGAUUCAGGGACCUCUGGGUAGCAGCGCGAGGCAAGUGGCCCCCCCUAUCACCUUUGCAUGAAAACGGGCCUGCGCUUAAUUGUGCGGCCACCAAACUCGAACAACUGUUAACAAUGGAUAUCUUGGUUCUC
rnacentral:misc_RNA from 1 species